rnacentral:rRNA from 1 species
ACACAUGCAGUCGAGCGGAUGACAGGAGCUUGCUCCUGAAUUCAGCGGCGGACGGGUGAGUAAUGCCUAGGAAUCUGCCUGGUAGUGGGGGACAACGUUUCGAAAGGAACGCUAAUACCGCAUACGUCCUACGGGAGAAAGCAGGGGACCUUCGGGCCUUGCGCUAUCAGAUGAGCCUAGGCCGGAUUAGCUAGUUGGUGAGGUAAUGGCUCACCAAGGCGACGAUCCGUAACUGGUCUGAGAGGAUGAUCAGUCACACUGGAACUGAGACACGGUCCAGACUCCUACGGGAGGCAGCAGUGGGGAAUAUUGGACAAUGGGCGAAAGCCUGAUCCAGCCAUGCCGCGUGUGUGAAGAAGGUCUUCGGAUUGUAAAGCACUUUAAGUUGGGAGGAAGGGCAUUAACCUAAUACGUUAGUGUUUUGACGUUACCGACAGAAUAAGCACCGGCUAACUCUGUGCCAGCAGCCGCGGUAAUACAGAGGGUGCAAGCGUUAAUCGGAAUUACUGGGCGUAAAGCGCGCGUAGGUGGUUUGUUAAGUUGGAUGUGAAAUCCCCGGACUCAACCUGGGAACUGCAUUCAAAACUGACAAGCUAGAGUAUGGUAGAGGGUGGUGGAAUUUCCUGUGUAGCGGUGAAAUGCGUAGAUAUAGGAAGGAACACCAGUGGCGAA